UGGGGAAUAUUGGACAAUGGGCGAAAGCCUGAUCCAGCCAUGCCGCGUGUGUGAAGAAGGUCUUCGGAUUGUAAAGCACUUUAAGUUGGGAGGAAGGGCAGUAAGCUAAUACCUUGCUGUUUUGACGUUACCGACAGAAUAAGCACCGGCUAACUCUGUGCCAGCAGCCGCGGUAAUACAGAGGGUGCAAGCGUUAAUCGGAAUUACUGGGCGUAAAGCGCGCGUAGGUGGUUUGUUAAGUUGGAUGUGAAAGCCCCGGGAUCAACCUGGGAACUGCAUCCAAAACUGGCAAGCUAGAGUACGGAAGAGGGUGGUGGAAUUUCCUGUGUAGCGGUGAAAUGCGUAGAUAUAGGAAGGAACACCAGUGGCGAAGGCGACCACCUGGACUGAUACUGACACUGAGGUGCGAAAGCGUGGGGAGCAAACA
rnacentral:rRNA from 1 species